UGUGAUGAUUGCCUUCGUGAA
rnacentral:siRNA from 1 species